rnacentral:rRNA from 1 species
AACGAACGCUGGCGGCAGGCUUAACACAUGCAAGUCGAGCGAGACCUUCGGGUCUAGCGGCGGACGGGUGAGUAACGCGUGGGAACGUGCCCUUCUCUACGGAAUAGCCCCGGGAAACUGGGAGUAAUACCGUAUACGCCCUUUGGGGGAAAGAUUUAUCGGAGAAGGAUCGGCCCGCGUUGGAUUAGGUAGUUGGUGGGGUAAUGGCCCACCAAGCCGACGAUCCAUAGCUGGUUUGAGAGGAUGAUCAGCCACACUGGGACUGAGACACGGCCCAGACUCCUACGGGAGGCAGCAGUGGGGAAUAUUGCACAAUGGGCGCAAGCCUGAUGCAGCGACGCCGCGUGAGGGAUGACGGCCUUCGGGUUGUAAACCUCUUUCAGUAGGGAAGAAGCGAAAGUGACGGUACCUGCAGAAGAAGCACCGGCUAACUACGUG